AGCGAACGCUGGCGGCAGGCUUAACACAUGCAAGUCGAGCGCACGUAGCAAUACGUGAGCGGCAGACGGGAGAGUAACACGUGGGAAGGUGCCCGUCGGUUCGGAAUAACGCAGGGAAACUUGAGCUAAUACCUGAAACGUGCGAGAGGAGAAAGAUUUAUCGCCGAAGGAUCGGCCCGCGUCCGAUUAGCUUGUUGGUGGGGUAAUGGCUCACCAAGGCGACGAUCGGUAGCUGGUCUGAGAGGAUGACCAGCCACACUGGGACUGAGACACGGCCCAGACUCCUACGGGAGGCAGCAGUGGGGAAUAUUGGACAAUGGGGGCAAGCCUGAUCCAGCCAUGCCGCGUGAGUGAUGAAGGCCCUAGGGUUGUAAAGCUCUUUCGCCAGGGACGAUAAUGACGGUACCUGGAUAAGAAGCCCCGGCUAACUACGUGCCAGCCGCCGCCGUAAGAC
rnacentral:rRNA from 1 species